rnacentral:rRNA from 1 species
UACGUAGGUGUCGAGCGUUGUCCGGAUUUAUUGGGCGUAAAGAGCCCGCAGGCGGCUUGGCAAGUUUGAGGUGAAAUCUCCCGGCUUAACUGGGAGGGGGCCUCGAAAACUGCCAGGCUUGAGGCAUGGAGAGGGAUGCGGAAUUCCCGGUGUGAGUGGUGAAAUGCGUAGAUAUAGGGAAGGAACACCAGUGGCGAAGGCG